UCUCCUCCUGGUGUAAAACUAUGUGAAUUAUUUCUGCGUCAACAUGAUCGGACUGAGAAGUAAAUGACAGCUGCUGUCAGGUCUUCAGUUUUACCCGCAUUACCAGCUGAGGUCUGAAACUACCUCCAAGAGACAAACAAGAAAAUAAAGCGGUUAAAACAGAGACCGGAAGACUCUUUACAGCUGGGUGAAGCCAGGGGGACGAUGAUUUCUCAAUUUCACACAGAGGUGAAGCCGCAGAGAAAAUCAUGUGAAAGUCAAUGGCGGUGCGCUUUGUAUGUUCAAACCACAGGAAGUGUCACUGGGCAAGAGGCGAGGAGGAAACUAAAGGGGGGAAUUCACGCGUGUGUCGUCUACGUUUCGCCUGCUCUGGCUGUACUUCCCCGGCCCUGGAGCAGGCGCCCCGAGGAGGGGCUAGUGACGAAGCAGGCAUACAUAUAUGAGCAAGCUGCAGUUCUCUGCUGUCGGACCCAGCUGCUGCUCUGCUCUAACAUUUUUUAUUUAAACGGAGAAAAAUUCACGUCAUCAGAUAAUUCAGCUGUCGCGUCUCGAUGGAUUUUAUUGGAUAUUUCUUCUUCAUAUUCUUCACAUCACUGUCACCACCAGCGUCUGUGAGGAGAUUUAGAUUAUAGAAGUGAACACGUUGCAAAGCUUCAGUCAGUCGCAGAGUUUGAUGAAGGACCAAAACACUGGAACCUGCUGCAGCACUCCACACAGCAGGUUUCAGCAGGAGAACAUGGAUUCACCUGCAGAGGAGGAUCUCACCUGUCCUGUCUGCAGGGACGUCUUCAAAGAGCCUGUCGUCCUGUCAUGCAGCCACAGCUUCUGUAGAGACUGUCUGCAGAAGCGCUGGACAGACAGACAGACACAGGAGUGUCCACUUUGUAAGAGACGGUCAUCAAUGACCAUGAUUCCACCUGAUCUUACAGACCUGCUGUUGAAGGAGCUGACAGAGGAGAACUUCAGCAGCUCCUCUGAGUCUCUGCAGUCUGCACAGUGAGCAGCUCUUCAGUCUGGACCAUCAGCAGCCGGUGUGUCUCGUCUGUCUGCACACAUAUUAACAUUUACCCACGUGAGAAAUGGACUCUUAUUUCUGCAGCUCUUUCCCGUCUACUGACCGCUCAAAGCUGCUUUACAACAACUCAACAGUUUCACACAUUCACACAAACUGCUCAUCAGGAGAAAUUUGGGGUCCAGUAUCUUGCUCAAGGACACUUGGACAUGCAGCUUGGAGGAGCUGGGAAUCGAACCAGUGACCUUCCAAUUUCUAGACGACCCGCUGUGGCUCCUGAUCACAAACAGGAGCUUACUUGUGUUCGUGAUUCAGUUUUAUCAUCCUGUUUGUAAACUAAUGUCUUCAUUUAAAAAAUGUUCUGCUUUGACCUGAAAACUCAUUUUAUUCUGUUUAACUCGGCUUCCGAUCAGUACUUAAUAAUUCCUUUAAUUAAAACCUUUUAGAACCAUCAUGUCUUCGUUAUUUUACACAUUUUCAAUGGUGUCACAUGAUUUAAGCUCAGGUAGAGGAGUGUUUGUACUGUUUGUACUGUUCUGAAUACAUGUAUAAAGUUAUUAGUGUUGGAAAAAGUAUUGAAACAGACAAAAUGUUCAUUACUUGUGUCAGUGAUUCAGUUUCAUCAUCCUGUUUGUAAACUAAUAAAAGUUUUGAUGCUUUGACCUGAAAA